CAAUACAAGGGAAGACCUAGUGGCGAACGGGUGCGUAACACGUGAGGAACUUGUCCCGGUCUCUGGGAUAACAGUUGGAAACGACUGCUAAUACCGGAUGACGUCGGAAUCUCGCAUGGGAUACUGACGAAAGGGUUACUGGAUCGGGAGAGCCUCGCGGCCUAUCAGCUUGUUGGUGAGGUAACGGCUCACCAAGGCAUCGACGGGUAGCUGGUCUGAGAGGAUGAUCAGCCACACUGGGACUGAGACACGGCCCAGACUCCUACGGGAGGCAGCAGUGGGGAAUCUUGCGCAAUGGGCGAAAGCCUGACGCAGCAACGCCGCGUGCGGGAAGUAGGCCCCUCCGGUUGUAAACCGCUUUCAGCAGGAACGAAAAUGACGGUACCUGCAGAAGAAGGUGCGGCCAACUACGUGCCAGCAGCCGCCGUGACACGUAGGCACCAAGCGUUGUUCCGAUUUAUUGGGCGUAAAGAGCUCGUAGGCGGUUUCGGCAAGUCGGGUGUGAAAAACUUUGGGCUUAACCCACAGCC
rnacentral:rRNA from 1 species